GAUGAACGCUGACAGAAUGCUUAACACAUCAGCAAUUGAUUGGUGGCGGACGGGUGAGUAACGCGUAAAGAACUUGCCUCACAGCUAGGGACAACAUUUAGAAAUGAAUGCUAAUACCUGAUACUGUGAGAGAGCUUUGCGUACCAUUAGCUCGUUGGAGAGGUAACAGCUCACCAAGGAGAUGAUGGGUAGCCGGCCUGAGAGGGUGAACGGCCACAAGGGGACUGGGACGCGAGCCUUACUCAUACUGGAGGCAGCAGUGGGUAAUAUUGGACAAUAGUCCGAAGUCUGAUCCAGCAAUUCUGUGUGUACGAUGAAGUUUUCGGGAGGAAAAGUGCAUUGAGUUGGGAAGCGGUACCAACAGAAGAAGUGACGGCUAAAUACGUGCCAGCAGCCGCGGUAAUAC
rnacentral:rRNA from 1 species